rnacentral:lncRNA from 1 species
UGCUGCUUACUUUUUGCUGUAGGGGGUCGAUGCCUACUUUAGCUGUGCAAUCAUUCCUCAAUAUUAAACCGAGUUUGAUCAAGUACCUUGAAUCUACAAGUAGCAGUGAUUUGACAGGUUUACUACUGCCUGAAACAUGAUUGCAAGUGUUCUUAGUAUAUAACUCUUCUCUGUUUCCUCUCCAACUGAAACUCAGAACUAACAUAUUAUUUUUCACAGGCAAAAGCGGUAGCAAGAACUGCGCUUUCAGCAGUUGUACAGACAUGGGAGAUAUGACAUAGCCAAGGUCUUGGCGCUGAUAUUGACCUCAUAACCCCUGAAUAAAGAAAGAUGCUACCAGAGAUUAGUAAACGAUCUUAAGCAGAAAAAGGUAUCAUUUGCGAAUGAUUAGCACCAGCAAAAAAAAACUGGGGACACAUACAACUAUCUCAAACACCAGGUCUUUCAGUGUUAGUUUCGGAUGCCACCUAAAGCUAGGACUAGAGGCGUCCUUCUCCAAUCCAUGAACUGUCAAUUGGUCUGCACUGCACCAAUGAUGAGGUCGAAGCAAAUCAUGCAUGGUAGUUGCUAAGAUAAGCGGAGCAGAGUUGGUGCUGAUGGCGAACAUCUGGGCCCUUUUCUCAUCAUUAGCGGAGUGGGGGGAAUCUUUCAUCAGUUGGAUCGCACUUGCAUUCUUCACAAGUUCGUCAGGUAUUUGACAUGAUAUGGAAAGAUCAACUUAAUAUUUAGACGUAUAUAAUUCAGGGAACCUUUUAGGCAACUUCACACUCAACUGGCUGUUAGCUAGUUGUUUUCUUUGUUGAGGAAAUACUCCUGAACUCUGCAUGCACAAUGAUAAUGAUGUCACUAAAGUUCCCCACGUUCUUCCAUGUAGGCACAUUCCAAGCUAAUGAAACAUGAUGUCACUG